GGCCCUGUGGCUCAGUUGGUUAGAGCGCCGCCCUGUCACGGCGGAGGCCGUCGGUUCGAGUCCGUCCAGGGUCG
rnacentral:tRNA from 1 species